rnacentral:rRNA from 1 species
CGUGUAGGCGGGAAGGAAAGUCAGAUGUGAAAUCCCCAGGCUCAACCUGGGAACUGCAUUUGAAACUCCCUUUCUUGAGUAUCGGAGAGGAAAGCGGAAUUCCUGGUGUAGAGGUGAAAUUCGUAGAUAUCAGGAGGAACACCAGCGGCGAAGGCGGCUUUCUGGACGGUAACUGACGCUGAGACGCGAAAGCGUGGGGAGCAAACA